UCUAAGGAAGAAAAAUGACAACAUCAUAUGUUAAUAACCUUCCGAGAUUAAAAGUCUGAAGAUGUGUGUCAGACCUACAAAUAACUUAUGUAUGGGUUACCAAGCGUGGCGUGGCGACCGCCUCCUGUCCUGGACUUUGUGCCGACCUGCUUUUCGAGCCCUCCCCACUCCCGUCCUCAUGCUGAGUGUUCCAAGUGGAACGUUUCAGUGCAAGUGUGAACGUGAAGCUACAGCUGAACUCCUUCUCCUUUUGAGUUUUAAUUGAAAUCCCCUGAACCUGGACAGGUAGAUUCGGGAUUUUAGCAGAACCCAUUUUCAGGCGCCAGGAGGAAAACCCCGAGCAACAUUUUGCAUAGUCCCAGGAGAGCCUGUGGGUGACAAGCCCAGCUGGCCGCAAAUCCCGAGGGGCACUGCCCCGUCCAAUCAUCUUGUGUCCCGUUCCCAUGGCCAGGGUAUCUGAUGGUGAGUGUGUGGGGUAAAUCGUUUACAGAAUAAAUAAGUGAAGACUGUAAAAAUCAGGAGCGAGUAGGAUUUACUGUUAACUGGGGUCAUAAUCGCUCAGAGAUCUUUGCUACCACAUGGGUCAGGGAGAAUGUCUGAGCCCCCGGCAGCCGUCAGCCCAGCUGAAGACACACGGGAGAGCUAACAGGGUCUGUGGACCUGACCCCAACCCCAGCUCAGGCUUUCCAGCUAUAUUGUCACAUGGAUAACCGACUCAAGGGACCUCAGUGUUUUUCCUUACUGCUUUUAAACUCAUUUUUAAAUUUUAUCCCAUUUUUGCUGAGGGACACCUAUAUAUUGCAAGGUUAAAUGGAUCACUAGUGGUUGCGUAAUUGAGCUAGGCUGUAUAAACCCCUAAGUCAGACUGCUUGACUGGAAACAUUAAUUUUGGAAGCCAAUCACCUUACAGUUGAAAGAGCAGUCAGUUUUUGUGUUGAAAAGGAUCACAGGGUAAGAUUGACAGGGUCAGAACUGGCUUCUAUGCUGAUCUAAUAAAUGCCUCAGUUGCUACUA